UACGUAGGUGGCGAGCGUUAUCCGGAAUGAUUGGGCGUAAAGGGUGCGCAGGCGGUCCUGCAAGUCUGGAGUGAAACGUAUGAGCUCAACUCAUGCAUGGCUCUGGAAACUGGAGGACUGGAGAGCAGGAGAGGGCGGUGGAACUCCAUGUGUAGCGGUAAAAUGCGUAGAUAUAUGGAAGAACACCAGUGGCGAAGGCGGCCGCCUGGCCUGUUGCUGACGCUGAGGCACGAAAGCGUGGGGAGCAAAUAGG
rnacentral:rRNA from 1 species